UCCCUGGUGGUCCAGUGGCCAAGACUCUGAGUUCCCAAUGCAGGAGGCCUGGGUUCAAUCCCUGGUCAGGGAA
rnacentral:tRNA from 1 species